rfam:Synechococcus sp. KORDI-100, complete genome.
GCGGGUGUAAUUCAGCGGUAGAAUGUCAGCUUCCCAAGCUGGACGUCGCCGGUUCAAAUCCGGUCACCCGCU